AUUGAACGCUGGCGGCAGGCCUAACACAUGCAAGUCGAGCGGAUGAAGGGAGCUUGCUCCUGGAUUCAGCGGCGGACGGGUGAGUAAUGCCUAGGAAUCUGCCUGGUAGUGGGGGAUAACGUCCGGAAACGGGCGCUAAUACCGCAUACGUCCUGAGGGAGAAAGUGGGGGAUCUUCGGACCUCACGCUAUCAGAUGAGCCUAGGUCGGAUUAGCUAGUUGGUGGGGUAAAGGCCUACCAAGGCGACGAUCCGUAACUGGUCUGAGAGGAUGAUCAGUCACACUGGAACUGAGACACGGUCCAGACUCCUACGGGAGGCAGCAGUGGGGAAUAUUGGACAUAGGGCGAAAGCCUGAUCCAGCCAUGCCGCGUGUGUGAAGAAGGUCUUCGGAUUGUAAAGCACUUUAAGUUGGGAGGAAGGGCAGUAAGUUAAUACCUUGCUGUUUUGACGUUACCAACAGAAUAAGCACCGGCUAACUUCGUG
rnacentral:rRNA from 1 species